CAAGUCGAGCGAACAGACGAGGAGCUUGCUCCUCUGACGUUAGCGGCGGACGGGUGAGUAACACGUGGAUAACCUACCUAUAAGACUGGGAUAACUUCGGGAAACCGGAGCUAAUACCGGAUAAUAUAUUGAACCGCAUGGUUCAAUAGUGAAAGACGGUUUUGCUGUCACUUAUAGAUGGAUCCGCGCCGCAUUAGCUAGUUGGUAAGGUAACGGCUUACCAAGGCAACGAUGCGUAGCCGACCUGAGAGGGUGAUCGGCCACACUGGAACUGAGACACGGUCCAGACUCCUACGGGAGGCAGCAGUAGGGAAUCUUCCGCAAUGGGCGAAAGCCUGACGGAGCAACGCCGCGUGAGUGAUGAAGGUCUUCGGAUCGUAAAACUCUGUUAUUAGGGAAGAACAAAUGUGUAAGUAACUAUGCACGUCUUGACGGUACCUAAUCAGAAAGCCACGGCUAACUACGUGCCAGCAGCCGCGGUAAUACGUAGGUGGCAAGCGUUAUCCGGAAUUAUUGGGCGUAAAGCGCGCGUAGGCGGUUUUUUAAGUCUGAUGUGAAAGCCCACGGCUCAACCGUGGAGGGUCAUUGGAAACUGGAAAACUUGAGUGCAGAAGAGGAAAGUGGAAUUCCAUGUGUAGCGGUGAAUGCGCAGAGAUAUGGAGGAACACCAGUGGCGAAGGCGACUUUCUGGUCUGUAACUGACGCUGAUGUGC
rnacentral:rRNA from 1 species